rnacentral:lncRNA from 1 species
GGAUCCAGCAAAAUCAUUGCAGUGGCCUGGGUUACUGCUGUGGUGAGGGUUUAGUCCCUGGCCCAGGAACUUGCAUAUGUGAAGGGUGUACUCAAAAAAAAAAAAGAAUAAAUUCUAUAGAAGGGGGUGGUAAGUUACUUACCUCACACUUGAUGCCAUUACCUGAAAUCUGGGCUCACCUCUUGAGCCAAAAUACACAGCCAAGCCAAAGACCAGGAGAAGGAAAGAUUUAUUACUUGCAGCAAGUAAGGAGAACACCAAGAAUCUUUCCUAAAACAGUGUCUCUCCAAACAGCAAAAUUAGGGAAGUUUUAAGCUAAGGGUACAGGCAUAUCUAUGAAGGAACUUGGGCAGUCCAAACUUGAGUUCGCCGAAGCCAGAGAAAGUCAACCUCAUCAUCCCUUAGGUUCCAGUUGAUCUGGUGGCUGAGGGCCUGGGGAGUUUAAAUUCUGCAAAACAGCCCAAGAAAAUGCCUCAGCAUAAGCUUUAUCACUAAAACAGACCUGGGCAUCUCUACAACUGAUUUAUUAUCUUUGCUAUCGUUACUUCUCUCUCUCUCUCUCUCUCUUUUUUUUUUUUUUUUUUUUUUUUUUUUUUGCUUGGCGUCUGAAGUUCCCAGGCUAGGGGUCUUAUCGGAGCUGUAGCCGCUGGCCUACACCAGAGCCACAGCAACACAGGAUCCGAGCCGCAUCUGCAACCUACAUCACAGCUCACAGCAACGCCGGAUUGUUAACCCACUGAGCAAGGGCAGGGACCGAACCCGCAACCUCAUGGUUCCUAGUCGGAUUCGUUAACCACUGCGCCACGACAGGAACUCCCCUUUAAGAUCAUUAUUAAUGAGACCUAUUCAAGGGCAAGUGUUCUGAUCAGGCUUAGAUCACAAAAUGGUUUUAGGCCUAAAAUGGCUUCUCUUAUGUUAAAAAACUAUCUGGGAGUUCUUGUGCAGCGGCUUAAGGAUCUAGCAUUGUCACUGCAAUGGCUUGGGUCACUGCUGUGGUGCACGGUCUAUCUCUGGCCAGGAACUUUCAUAUGCUGUGAGCAAGGCCAGAAAAAAAAAAAAGCUUUGUCUGGAGCCCUACUCUAUCUGCUUAGAGCUGGUCAUACCUCCAGGUGAUUUCCUGAAGCAAAUGCAAUUCCUCUAAGGCUUCAGUUCCCAUAUGUAAACUUCCAAGGCAAACGAACAGCCCUGUUUAAAGAUUGUAAGGUGCUGGAGCUCCGUCAUGGCUCAGCGGUAGUGAAUCUGACUAAUGUCCAUUAGGAAGCAGGUUGGAUCCCUGGCCCCGCUCAGUGGAUUAAGGAUUGGUGUUGCUGUGAGCUGUGGGGUAGGUCAUAGACGAGGCUCAGAUCUGGCGUUGCUGUGGCAGCUCCAAUUCGACCCCUAGCCUGGGAACCUCCGUAUGCCGCAGAUGCAGCCCUAAAAAACAAGAAAAAAAUUAUAAGGUGCACAAAGAAAACACCACAAGUGAAUAAGGAGACAAAGACACACAAAAGCUCUUGCUUUUUAGGGCUGCACCUGUGAUAUAUGCAGGUUCUCAGGCUAGGGGUAGAAUCAGAGCUACAGCGGCCAGCCUACACCACAGCCACAGCCACGCCAGAUCCAAGCUGCACCUGCGACCUACACCACAGCUCACAGCAAUACUGGUUCCUUAACCCACUGAGGCCAGGGAUCGAAAACUCAUGGUUCCUAGUCGGAUUCGUUUCCCCUGUGCCACGAUGGGAACUCCAAAACAUUGUCAGACAAAGGCAGGGUUUUCCUCAGGUAAUAUAGGAUAUCCUGAGGCAGAAAUAAAAUGAUUUUAAAAGGAAGUCAGAUGCAAGAAGGAACACUGAACACAGAUAUUGGUAAGUAAUGGUGAAAGUGAGCAAGAAUUAACUGUAAAAGCAUGGUAUGCAAUUUGUUGGAGGAAAAUAAGGAACAGAAUUAAAAUCCUGGGCAACAAUAGUGUGUAACUUGGGGCGACUAGGACCCUAAUUUUCAUGUUCUUAUAUUCAGGAGGAAAAGUGAAGAUAUUAGGACUUUUGUGGAAUUGUACAUAGUAGCUAGAAGAAUCACGACAGUAUAUCACCUUCAAACAAGUAGGGAAGGAGGGAAGAGGAGGGUGGGGGGAUUAGAUUUGGUACUGCCUCUGAUAGAACAAUCUAAGCUCCCAGGGUAUCAAUUAUAAAAGAGGUGGUGAGAGCCUACCUCUUUAUCACAGUACUGGGGCAGUAAGGGCAGAUGAAGUAGAUGUGUGCAGAAGAACAGGGAGUGAAGUGUAAGAAGGGCCAAGAGCACAGGUCCAAGAAAAUUUCCAUUAAAACAAAGUUAAAAUUAUUUGCUGGCUGGUGUGUGACUUGAUCAGGCUGACUUAAAGAUAAAAGGUCAGGAGAGAAUAUUUUUAUAUAUCGCUGACUGAAUUGCUGACUCCUGGAGUUCUUUAGGAUUUGAAACCUUAGUUUUACACCAGAGGAAGAAGAGUUAACAGAAGAUUGGAUCCAUGCUCUCAGCUUUCAGAUCCCAGCGUAAGAUUCAAAUAAAUACUAUAGGACGAUCAGAAAAAAAAAUCACCCCCAAAUGAAACAGAUCAAAGCAAAUUCUACUCUUUGCUGCUAGUUAUUUCUCUGAAUUGGGAAGCCAUGAAGGCUUUUGUUUUUUUUUUUUUUUUUGGCCAGGUUCAUGGCCUGCGGAAAUUCCUGGUCCAGGGAUCAAACUUGCACCACAGCAGUGACAAUGCUGGAUUCUUAACCCACUGUGCCACCAGGGAGGUCCCAUACAGGCCUCUUAAAAAGUCUGAGAGUUCUCUAGUUUCCUGCCCCUAGUGACAUCACCAGCAUUCUAGGAAACAAAUUCUCUAGUACUUCUUUCAGUUCUCUUUUUCAGGGCCUCCUUUCACUUCUUAAAUAUUGAUACGCCACCAGGGUUCAAAUCUGAUCUGCUUCUGACUUGAUACUGAUGGAAUUCCUAGAAAGUACGCUGACUCAACCUGAUUCUUACUGUGUCUUCUCUGCAUUUUUAAAAGUUAGGCCCCAAGUUCUCCUGUAGGUCUGGUGGAUGUUUGACAGUGGACACUUGGUCACUCUGUGCUACUCCACUUUGUAAAGUGGUAACUCUGAGUAAUGGUUACAUCACUGCCAGCUGCUUUGUAACCUGCCUUUUACAUAAUGUCACUGAAAUGAUACUGACUUUUCUAAAGCGAAAUCCUGCACAUUUUUGUCAAUAAAUAUUUUGUACAAAUGCUAGGACCAAAGGCUAUAUCUGUUUUUGAAGUGCUCCAGUCCCAGGAAUAGAGGUAUUAAAUUUAUAAAUCACUGUGAUAAGCAUUAUUAUAAUGAUGCCUUUCUAGGAUUAGAAGGGUGAACUCUGAUGGGAGGAGGGCAAGGCUUCACUGAGAGAUGAUAUUUUGGUUGGUUUGAAAGGAUACUAGUAUUCCAUCAAUUGCAGAAGAUGGGAAUCAUGCAGGACAAUCAGAAUAAUGUGCAAAACAUUUCAUCUAAUAAAUUCAGUAAUUGAAAUAUCACCAUUUUGCAGUACUUAAUAAAUAGGAUAAUCAUUAAUAAUUAUUAAUACAUGCUUGAUACUAUGUAUUAAUAGCAUUGAGAAUCACACCUGUUCACAUCACAAAAGGAGACAAUUGGCUACCACAUAAAAAGCGUUCUUCUGUUUGUUUGUUUUGUUUUUUUAGGGCUGCACCCAUGGCAUAUGGCAGUUGCCAGGUUAGGGGUUGAAUCCAAGCUCUAGCUGCUGGCUUAUACCACAGCUCACAGCAAUGUCAGAUCUGAGCCAUGUCUGCGACCACAGCUCACCGAAACGCCAGAUCCUUAACCCACUGGGCAAAGUCAGGGAUUGAACCUGAGUCCUCAAGGAUAUUAGCUGGGUUUAUUACCAUUGAGCCACGAUGGGAACGCCCCAGAGUGUUUUUUUUUCCCUUUUUUUUUUUUUUUUUUAAAUCAAGCCUGAGUCUGAUCAAACUGUAAGUACAAUUUCUAUUUUAUAGGAAAUACAGAGGAAGUGGGAAACGUUAAAUGACACCAUGGGGAUGAAAUUAGCAAAAUGAAAGAGUUACAAAACAAAUGACAAAAAAUAAAUUAAUUGUAAGGAGAAAAAAGAUGGGAGUUCCUGUUGUGGUACAGCAGGAUCAGUGACGUUUUUCAGGUUCUAUUCCCGGUGGGCACAGUGGGUUAAAGCAUCUGGCGUCCCUUGCCUGGGAACUCCAUGUGCCACAAGGUGGCCAAAAAUGAAAACAAAAACAAAAAAAAAAAAAAGGAAAAAAGAUGGAUACUUAUAGAUACUUACACUUUUAGAAAGACAUCAAUCUCUGUAGAUUAAAAGACAUCAGCCAGUCACAAUUAUGGGUCUUCUUUGGAUUCUGAUAUAAAAAUAACAUUUUAUGAGAAAAUUGGAAAUUUGAAUCCUGGAUACUUGAUUUUACUAAGUAAUUGUUAUUUUUUAGAUGUGAUGCUGGUGUUGGGUUAUAAUUAAUUCCUUGUCGAUUUGAACAGUGAGAUGAAAUUCUUUUUUUUUUUUUUUUCCCUUUUUAGGGCCAUACCCUUGGCAUAUGGAAGUUUCCAGGUUAGGGGCUGAAUGGAGCUAUAGCUUCCGGCCUACGCUGCAGUCACAGCAACGCCAGAUCUGAGCCCCAUCUGCAACCUACACCACAGCUCACGGCAACCCUGGAUCCAUAACCCACUAAGCAAGGCCAGGAAUUGAACCUGCAUUCUCAUUGAUACUAGUCAGAUUUGUUUCUGCUUCACCACAAUGGGAACUCGGUGUGAUGUAAUUCUAAUUGAUGAACUGUUAAGAGGAAGUUUGCUUCUAAGUAGCGUGGAGCAAGGGUGGAUAGAGGUAUACAUGAAAAGUUUUAAAAAAUUGUGAAAAACUAUUUGGGAACUAAUCGUUCCAAGUAGUUGAGGCACAGGGGUACAUAGAAGCAGGAAACGAGACUAGGAAGGGGAGAUGGUGGCAGUAGAUGUAAUACUUGGGUCAUGAAGCGCAUUUACUGCCAUCACAGGCCAAUGGAUUUCAAACCACCGUGGCCGCCUGGGUUUGUGGUGUUGCCCCCCGUGGUGCUAAACAGAGAGGACACCAGGUCACUGACCUUUUUUAAUAAGAACAGCUUUGUGUUCUGUUUUAUUAAAUCAGGCUUCUCGGUGAUAUUUUAUUUAAAAACAGGAUUCUGAGGAUUUCCAAUUUUUUCUCUAACCAUUCGGGGAACACUUGACUAUUUUAAAGACUAUUACUUAAGUUGUCCUGCAGAAGAUUAGAGAGAAACCGGCUAUGAGAUUUGUGCUAUCACCAAUGAAUGAACGAUUUGUUUUGAGGGGAAUUUAGCUAACGAAGAUUUGGUCCAGGAAGUAAACAUUUUAUGAUAAUGUUUGUCAUCGUUUUUUCCUCAGUUCACAAAGGACAACCAAGAGGAUGUGGAAAUAGGCUCAUUCCUCUAACAAAGUCAGUCUCUCUGAGCAUCUGCUAGAGUACUGGCUGGAACCCAGUUCCCUCCCUUUUCCCCGUUUUGGCAGAGCCUGCUCCUUGCAGUCUCAGCAUCUUUGAGCACAGUCUCUAGCCUGGUCCUCCCGUGCACCGUGACUGAGAGUGCAGGGAGGUAGGGAAUGAUGCCAGCUAUUUGAGUUCAUGGUGACCGCCUCUAUCACUGCUGCCCUGUCUCAGCUACCGCCGCCUCAGACGUGCCCCACCACAUCUACCCGAGAGUACGUAGCUUCUUAGAGCAGCUGAGCUCCAGAUUGUAAAAGCUCAGAGGCAGCCACCUUUUCUUCCCUUAUCUCCAUGACCUUGGAGUCUGCCAUGACCUUGGAGUCUGCCAUGACCUUGGAGUCUGCCUAGGAAAACCCACUGACCUUCCCUCCUAUUACUGUCCUCUGGAGCUGAUGUCUCCCUGACCCCUAUGCCUUCAAGUCACACACCCAUCCACCAAGUCCCUGUGGCUAAUAAAAAUUAGCUAUUAACAAUCCAUUCUUACAGUGAAAAUGGUUUAGAUAUAUCCUCAGCGUUCUCCACCCCCACCGGCUUUCACUUCACUCCAUCCUGGUUCUACUUGGUUUCUAAUAGAUUGGCUUUGUAGGUUUUGGUCUUUUUCUAAAACCUUGCCCUUGCCCCUCUGACUUGGUGCUUGAGUGAUUCUUCCCGAGUUCUUUUUUGCUUUUCAAGACAAUUCUUAGCAGUCUUGAAUUUUGGAACUCCUUGAGAAUCUAAUGAUAGCUAAAGACUUUCUCCAAAAAGUGCAUACACGCACAGUGUUUUGUCUAUAAUCUCAAUCUCUAGAUUUUUAAAGCUGUGCUCAAUGCAUCUGGAAUCCUUUUGGUGGUUGUGGUGGGAAUUGUUUGAUAAAAAUGCAGUGUUCUUGUCUCUACCCCUUACCUAUUAAAUCAGAAUUCCUGGUGGUAGAGUCGAGGAAUCGGCAAUUUAAACAGUAUCCCUGUUAACUCCUACCCCUGCUUACCUUUUAAGUGCACUAAAAUUGAGAGAGUCUGCUCUAAUGAUUCAGUUUAUCAUCAUAGCCUAUCUUUUCUUCCCCUCCCAGCCACUUACCUAUGGCUACAGGAGUUCAAAUUCUAGAGUCCUGGUCCUCACCUAAAGAAAAAGACUACUUUUCUCUGGGGCUAUAGUGAAACCCCUUGUUAAAGAAACUCUAGAGCCCAACAAUGCGACUAGGUCUCUUUCAUUUCCAGGCAUGGUUCUAAAUUGAGAGAGCCAAGUCAUGUCUAAGAAAGCCACAUUUCCCCUCUUCCUUUCAUUCAUCUUUCAUCAAUACUUUCUGUAUUUACUUUCCCCUAUCAUGAAUGGAAAUUCCCUGUUCUGGAGAUGCAGAUUCCCACCCAAGGCAAGAUGUCUUGUGCUUUUGCAUGUUUGUUUUCCUCAUCUCAGGUGUGUUAUUCAUGUGGCUAGCCAGUGGUCCAGAGUUAGAACCUUGAAAUGAGAUUCAGGAGCACAAUGCCCAGGAUUAGAAAUGGUAGAGGAAAAAGGAAAAAGUCUCAAACUGAUAGACUUCCUGACUUCUUUCAACAGGUGUUGUUUUAAAUCAGCCUUGCAGAUAAAUUGGUUCCAUCUUGGAGUUUCCAUCCUGGCUCAGCGGUAAUGAGCCCUAACCUGACUAGUACCCAAGAGGAUGCAGGUUUGAUUCCUGGCCCUGCUCAGUGGGUUAGGGAUCCGGCGUUGCUGUGAGCUGUAGCGUAGGUUGCAGACUCGGCUCGGUUCUGGCGUUGCUGUGGUUGUAGCAUAGGCCUGUGGCUACAGCUCCAAUUCGACCCCUAGCCUGGGAGCCUUCGUAUGCCAAGGGUGCAGCCAUAAAAAAGAAAAAAAUUCUUUCCAUCUUUUUUCAAAGAAGUAGGACAGUGUACUUCCUUGGUAGAUCCAAAAAUGUUGUGUUCCCCUUCUUACCCUUGCCAUAAGUAAAUAUGCCUAAUGAAAUAACAGCAACAAAGUGGGGUAGAGGAAUACAAGUAAACAGGUUUGCAGAGUUAAACCUAAAUGCUAGCUGGUCCAGGUACAUCCUUGAGGUUCAAAACUGACGACAGAGUAGGGAAGGCCAUUGAAUAACUUUCUUUUAAUCGAUUAUUUUACUGGCUAUAAAUUUUUAAUGUGAUAAUUGAAAAAAAAUUUAGAAAGUAUGGAAAGUUACUUUUUUUUUUUGGCUAUUCCUUCGGCAUGCAGAAGUCCCAUGGCCAGGGAUCAAACCCUCGCCACAGCAGCCACAAAGCCAGAUCCUUAACCUGCUGAGCCACCAGGGAGCUCCUGUUCUUAUUUUUUUAAAGAAGAAGAUAAGUCAGUUAUAAUCCUGGGUCCUACCAUCCAGAGGCAACUACUAGUAACAUUUGGCAUUCUUCCAUCUAGUGUUUUCCUACUUUAAAAAAAAAAAUAAUAGAACUCAUGCAAUACAAACAACCCAGUUAACGGCUUUGCUUGUCUAACGUUGUUUUAUAACAUCUCCCAGUUAAUUAUUCAAGACCAUAACUUUUCAUGGCUGCAUGACGUUUAAUCAAAUGGAUAUACCAUUAUUUAUUUAACUUUUGCUCAGUUGUUGGAUACUUAGGUAUAAUGCUUAUGUAUAAUAUUAUAAGUAUUAUAGUGUUAUAUGCUAUAAUAAACAUCUUUGUGCAU